CAGGAUUAGAUACCCUGGUAGUCCACGCCGUAAAACGAUGAGUGCUAAGUGUUGGAGGGUUUCCGCCCUUCAGUGCUGCAGCUAACGCAUUAAGCACUCCGCCUGGGGGAGUACGACCGCAAGGUUGAAACUUCAAAGGAAUUGACGGGGGCCCGCACAAGCGGUGGAGCAUGUGGUUUAAUUUGAAGCAACGCGAAGAACCUUACCAGGUCUUGACAUCCUUUGACCACUCUAGAGAUAGAGCUUCCCCUUCGGGGGCAAAGUGACAGGUGGUGCAUGGUUGUCGUCAGCUUCGUGUCGUGAGAUGUUGGGUUAAGUCCCGCAACGAGCGCAACCCUUAUUGUUAGUUGCCAUCAUUUAGUUGGGCACUCUAGCAAGACUGCCGGUGACAAACCGGAGGAAGGUGGGGAUGACGUCAAAUCAUCAUGCCCCUUAUGACCUGGGCUACACACGUGCUACAAUGGGAAGUACAACGAGUCGCAAAGUCGCGAGGCUAAGCUAAUCUCUUAAAGCUUCUCUCAGUUCGGAUUGUAGGCUGCAACUCGCCUACAUGAAGCCGGAAUCGCUAGUAAUCGCGGAUCAGCACGCCGCGGUGAAUACGUUCCCGGGCCUUGUACACACC
rnacentral:rRNA from 1 species